UUUCAGAGAUGAGAAUGUGCCUUCGGGAACCGUGAGACAGGUGCUGCAUGGCUGUCGUCAGCUCGUGUUGUGAAAUGUUGGGUUAAGUCCCGCAACGAGCGCAACCCUUAUCCUUUGUUGCCAGCGGUCCGGCCGGGAACUCAAAGGAGACUGCCAGUGAUAAACUGGAGGAAGGUGGGGAUGACGUCAAGUCAUCAUGGCCCUUACGACCAGGGCUACACACGUGCUACAAUGGCGCAUACAAAGAGAAGCGACCUCGCGAGAGCAAGCGGACCUCAUAAAGUGCGUCGUAGUCCGGAUUGGAGUCUGCAACUCGACUCCAUGAAGUCGGAAUCGCUAGUAAUCGUGGAUCAGAAUGCCACGGUGAAUACGUUCCCGGGCCUUGUACACACCGCCCGUCACACCAUGGGAGUGGGUUGCAAAAGAAGUAGGUAGCUUAACCUUCGGGAGGGCGCUUACCACUUUGUGAUUCAUGACUGGGGUGAAGUCGUAACAAGGUAACCGUAGGGGAACCUGCGGUUGGAUCACCUCCUUA
rnacentral:rRNA from 2 species